AUGCGAGAUGGAUUUAAGGUAGUUUUAGAGUCCAAUAAAGUAAUCGUGUCAAGAUUUGGACAAUUUAUAGGAAAAGGCUAUGAGUGCGGAGGCUUGUUCCGCUUUUCUCUUUCAGAUUUUUGCAAUAAGUCAAUAAACCAAAUUUGUGCUAGUGUUAAUGAUGAUGCAAGUAUUUGGCACUCUCGUUUAUGUCAUAUUAAUUUUGGUUUAAUGUCUCGGCUAUCCAGCAUGAGUUUAAUUCCGAACUUCACAGUUGCCAAAGGUUCUAAGUGCCAUAGUUGUGUGCAAUCUAAGCAAUCUCGAAAGCCUCAUAAGGCUGCCGAGGAGAGAAACUUGGCACCUCUAGAACUCAUACAUUCUGAUCUUUGUGAGAUGAAUGGUGUGUUGACAAAAGGUGGAAAGAGAUAUUUCAUGACUUUGAUUGAUGAUGCGACUAGAUUUUGCUAUGUUUAUUUGUUGCAAACUAAAGAUGAAGCAUUAGACUACUUUAAAAUCUAUAAAGCUGAAGUUGAAAAUCAACUAGAGAGAAAGAUCAAGCGUCUUAGGUCCGAUCGUGGUGGAGAGUAUUUUCCAAAAGUUUUUGAUGAAUUUUGUGAGGAACAUGGUAUUAUUCAUGAGAGGACGCCUCCCUAUUCACCUCAAUCAAAUGGAGUGGCCGAGAGGAAAAACCGCACAUUGACUGACUUAGUGAAUGCCAUGUUAGACACUGCUGGUUUAUCUAAGGCAUGGUGGGGGGAGGCUCUAUUGACUUCAUGUCAUGUCCUGAAUAGAGUUCCCAACAAUAAUAAAGAGAAAACCCCUUAUGAGGAGUGGGUUGGGAGAAAACAAUCACUUUCUUAUUUGCGCACUUGGGGAUGUUUGGCAAAGGUCAAUAUUCCUAUUCCUAAGAAACGCAAACUUGGACCAAAGACAGUGGAUUGUGUCUUUCUAGGGUAUGCUCAACGGAGCAUUGCUUAUAGGUUUUUAGUGGUAAAAUCUGAAGUACCUGAUAUGCAUGUUGAUACUAUAAUGGAAUCUCGUGAUGCAACAUUUUUUGAGAACAUAUUUCCUAUGAAAGAUAUGCAUAGCAUUGCUAGAUUUUCUUCUGAGAUAAUUCCUGAAUCUAGUACAACUGAUGAAUAUUUCGAACAAUCACAUGAGGAAGUCCUUGAGAAGGAUAACAAUGAAGUUCCUAGAAGGAACAAGAGACAAAGGAUUGCAAAAUCCUUUGGUGAUGAUUUCAUUGUAUACCUUGUGGACGACACACCCAAGACGAUUGCAGAAGCAUAUGCAUCUCCGGAUGUAGAUGAUUGGAAAGAAGCUGUUCAUAAUGAGAUGGACUCAAUUGUUUCUAAUGGAACUUGGGAACUAACUGAUAGACCAUAUGGUUGUAAACCUGUGGGCUGUAAGUGGGUGUUCAAAAAGAAGCUGAAGCCUGAUGGUACUAUUGAUAAGUACAAGGCGCGGCUAGUGGCCAAGGGCUACACUCAGAAAGAAGGCGAAGAUUAUUUUGACACCUAUUCACCCGUUGCUAGAAUGACCACCAUUCGAGUGUUACUUUCCUUGGCUGCCUCUUAUGGUCUUAUCAUUCAUCAAAUGGAUGUAAAGACAGCUUUUCUCAAUGGAGAGUUGGAAGAGGAGAUCUAUAUGGAUCAGCCUGACGGGUUUGUGGUAAAGGGUGAAGAGAGAAAGGUGUGCAAGUUGUUAAAAUCUUUGUAUGGUCUGAAACAGGCACCUAAGCAAUGGCAUGAGAAGUUUGAAAGAACUCUGACUUCUGCAGGAUUUGUCAUUAACGAGGCUGAUAGGUGUGUUUACUAUCGCCAUGGUGGGGGCAAUAGUGUCAUAUUAUGUUUGUAUGUGGACGACAUACUGAUCUUUGGUACAAACAUUAAUGCAAUUAAUGAGGUCAAGUCUUUUCUAUCGAAAAGUUUUGACAUGAAAGAUCUGGGAGAAGCCGAUGUAAUUCUAAACAUCAAACUUAUUCAGGAUAAGAGUGGGAUUACAUUAACGCAAUCUCACUAUGUUGAGAAGGUCUUGAACCGAUUCGGUUUUAUGGAUAGCAAGCCUUCUCCAACACCUUAUGAUCCCAGCGUGACACUCAGAAAGAACAAGAAAGAAACGAGAGAUCAAUUAAGAUACUCUCAAAUUGUCGGUUCACUCAUGUACUUAGCUAGCGCUACAAGACCAGAUAUCUCUUUUGCUGUGAGCAAACUGAGUAGGUUCAUGUCCAACCCGGGUGAUGAUCAUUGGCAUGCACUAGAAAGGGUCUUGUGCUAUCUGAGAGGUACUAUGAGUUACGGAAUUACUUAUUCAGGGCAUCCUGCUGUGCUAGAAGGAUAUAGUGAUUCAAAUUGGAUCUCCGAUGUUGAUGUACUUUACGCAACAAGUGGGUAUGUAUUUACUCAUGGUGGUGGCGCAGUGUCAUGGAGGUCUUGCAAGCAAACCAUAUUGACGAGGUCAACUAUGGAAGCAGAAUUAACUGCUUUGGACACAGCUACUGUUGAGGCAGAAUGGCUGCGUGAGCUCUUGAUGGACUUGCCGGUUGUUGAAAAAACCUGUACCGGCUAUUCUUAUGAAUUGUGA
rnacentral:rRNA from 1 species